GAACGAACGCUGGCGGCGUGCUUAACACAUGCAAGUCGAGCGAGAAAGGGGGAGCAAUCCCCUGAGUACAGCGGCGCACGGGUGAGUAACGCGUGGGUAAUCUGCCCCCCAGCCCGGGACUAACACCUCGGAAAGAAGGUGCUAAUACCGGAGUGACAUCGGCCUGGCGCAUGCCGGGGCUGAUCGAAGGCGGCCUCUGCUUGCAAGCUGUCACUGGGGGAUGAGCCUGCGUCCGAUUAGCUAGUUGGCGGGUAACGGCCCACCAAGGCGACGAUCGGUAGCCGGCCUGAGGAGGGUGACCGGCCACACUGGGACUGAGACACGGCCCAGACUCC
rnacentral:rRNA from 1 species